UGGCACCGGAUGCCCGGUAGCUGCCCACGUUCUGUUUCAUCCAGGCGGGCCACUGACCCUUGUUGCACAAAUGGACAAAGUGGGCGCACUCCAGCAAGAAGGUGGCCCUGGCCACGAGGGGAGCUUGCGGCUAAGGCCAAACCAAGGGCUAUACUGACCAGAUCCAGGACGGCGGCCACCAGCUGGGGAUCGGGAAAGGAGCCCGGUGCACAGGUCUCCAGCAGGAAGGAGAGACGCAGCAUGCCCACGCGCACCGGUUCGGUGGGCACCAGCUUGCGCUCCUUGAGGAUGACCACCUCCGACUCCCGCGGCCCGUCGCACAUGUCCGAGGAGGAGCGACGACUGAAGUCCGCCGUCUCCUCGAUGCCGCCCACCUUCUUCUUGCCCUUCACAAUGCCGCCGAAACGGUUCAGCCGCCGCUCGACGCGUCGCUUGGCGCGCUGAAUGGACCGCCCAAUGCCAUCGCUCGACCGUCCGCGCUGGAUCUUCAGCGAGGCGUGCCGCAUGAACGUGGAGGAGAUCUCCGGGUUGAGCGAUCCGAUCUCCAGAUCGAUGGAGGAGGCCUCCUUGGGCGUGCCGCGGAACCAGCGCACCAAGCCGCUGAGCCGUCCCAGCGAAUUGCGUUCCGAGCUGGACGUAGAGUCGGACAGCAGGGCUCGUUCGCUGUGCCGCGGGGUCAAGGUGGGCCUAACUCCAGUCGUCCGCCGCCGGAAGUUGCUUAGCGGCGACUGGCUGGUCUUGUAGUGCUCCUCGCACGCCUCCGUCUCUAAAAGGCUCUGAAACGAUGCAGACGGGAAUAAGCUUCAGGUUGGGCUUUAAGAAUAAGGCUCACCACGGCGCAGGCGGAUGAGGUGCUGCGCUUCUUCAGGAGGAGGCGUCGCUGGGAACGGUUGUCGUCAUUCUGCAGGCUCUGGCUCACAUUUGCCUGGGGAAUGUGUCUGAAAAGAAGGUAGGAUAUGAUUAGACCCGGUUUAGAUACUCGUUGUAUAUUAAUGGUCACUCAAAUGUGGUUACUCACCUUAUAACGCGAGUGGUCUGUGCCGAAGGACCCUUUUUGUGAGGUCUUGGGGUUACAGCCAGUAUUCCGCUGAGAGCCACCAGUCGAAAUGGACCGCCGUGGGCGCCCUUCACAUAAGUGACCAGCUGCCGGAUGUCGCCGUAGAGGGCUAUGUUCUCCGGACCCUUCAGAUCCUUGCUGGCCUCCACAAACCGGCUGACCAGCGGCUUAAAGACCGCUCCUACCACCUGGGCCUCGGCUCCGCCGCUCAUGCCGCCACUAAAAUUGGUCGAAUAGCCGCCCUGACCUGGUACGCCGCCAAUAUCGGUGUUAGCAUUUUUAAAUCCACUCUGACGUUUAUGAGCUAUUUGCAUCAUUUCAUACAUACAUACAUACAUACAUAUAUAUAUAUAUACAACGUAUUGGUGGUGACAGUAAAGAAUCGGGAGGUUAACAACUCAAAAGCAUUAGCAAAGGGUCCUGGCAUGCAAAGUGAGGAGGAGAUAACCACAAACAGCAUGGGUGAUGCGGAUUCCAGGGCCGGAAGAGCAAAUCAAAAGGCGGGGUUAAGAGGAAGCCCAACUCAAAAUGGCCAAUGGAACUCAACAGUCUGGUUGGAUCGAGUAUACAAAGGGGGGAUUUGGUGCGCCUACUUUUUGGGGUUUGGCAUCCAAGCCCAGCAUUUGCGGUUUUUGCUCGACGUCCAUCGGAAUGGGUCAACACUUACUCAGGGGCGAGAGCAGGGAGCUCGGGUCCACGCAGAAGGCCAGGAAGGCAUGGAAGUAGUCGAUGAGCUCCGGCAGGGGGGAGGUCUUCACCAUCUCCUGCAUGAAGCGCUUGGUCCUCUGACCCGCCUGCCUCAGCAUGCGGGACAGGAUCUUCUGGCACUGGUUGCGCAGGAAGUCGGCGGGGGGACCUCGAACGCCUGAGAACACAGUGGUUCCCAACUCACCAUCAUUGCAGCCAUGUGGACAUCCCAAGACCUGUAGAGCUCUCCUGGUGAUACUCAUCGAGAUCUCGUGAGCAUGUUCACCCAACUUGAGAACUCCCAUCUCAAUAAGUAGUUCACAAAUAUUCAAACCCGCCUCCAAAACACGCAGCGAACAAACUUGCGCCGGAUCCCGCUUGAAAACAUUACUAAUGGCCAGCAGGAUAAUCUCGUAGUCAAUGCCACCAUCGCGUGUUAUAUAGAAGGAGGAUCCCGGGGCCUCCGACUCAUCCACGCCCGUGUAAUCGAUGUGAGAGUCCGUGUGGGAGCGCAGCAUUUGACCUCGAUAGCGGGUGGUGGUGCUGCCCAUGCCUGUGCUGCCAUUACCACCUCCAUUUCCGCCCAUGCCGGCAAUACUUCCGCCAUUACUCAGGGCAUCCAGCUGGGAGUCAAUGGAGCCCUAUGGAAGAAUUAUAGUGUGUUAGCUUGGGACUUCAUAUAAGAUAUUGCAGGCUCCAGAAGAUGCCCUCCUCCUGCCAGUGGGAGAUGAAGAGGCAGCGGAGCACAGCCACAUCCAGGAAAGUGGCUGCCGACACAUCUGCCUUGACACUUUCCGACUUAUCCGAGUC